rnacentral:snRNA from 14 species
AGGCAGGCAAGGGGAGAUACUAUAAUCAAGAAGGUGUUCUUCCCAGGAUGAGACCUGUCCUUUGCACUCUGGGCAGGCUGACCCCUACAAGUUUCCUCUGAAUUGUGGGAAAUGCAACUGCACAAUUUUGUGGUGAUGGGGGACUGCAUUCAUGUUUACCCCCU